rnacentral:rRNA from 1 species
CAUGCAAGUCGAGGGGAAACGACAUCGAAAGCUUGCUUUUGAUGGGCGUCGACCGGCGCACGGGUGAGUAACGCGUAUCCAACCUGCCCACCACUCGGGGAUAACCUUGCGAAAGUAAGACUAAUACCCAAUGAUAUCUCUAGAAGACAUCUGAAAGAGAUUAAAGAUUUAUCGGUGAUGGAUGGGGAUGCGUCUGAUUAGCUUGUUGGCGGGGUAACGGCCCACCAAGGCGACGAUCAGUAGGGGUUCUGAGAGGAAGGUCCCCCACAUUGGAACUGAGACACGGUCCAAACUCCUACGGGAGGCAGCAGUGAGGAAUAUUGGUCAAUGGACGAGAGUCUGAACCAGCCAAGUAGCGUGCAGGAUGACGGCCCUAUGGGUUGUAAACUGCUUUUAUAAGGGAAUAAAGUGAGUCUCGUGAGACUUUUUGCAUGUACCUUAUGAAUAAGGACCGGCUAAUUCCGUGCCAGCAGCCGCGGUAAUACGGAAGGUCCGGGCGUUAUCCGGAUUUAUUGGGUUUAAAGGGAGCGUAGGCCGGAGAUUAAGCGUGUUGUGAAAUGUAGAUGCUCAACAUCUGCACUGCAGCGCGAACUGGUUUCCUUGAGUACGCACAAAGUGGGCGGAAUUCGUGGUGUAGCGGUGAAAUGCUUAGAUAUCACGAAGAACUCCGAUUGCGAAGGCAGCUCACUGGAGCGCAACUGACGCUGAAGCUCGAAAGUGCGGGUAUCGAACAGGAUUAGAUACCCUGGUAGUCCGCACGGUAAACGAUGGAUGCCCGCUGUUGGUCUGAAUAGGUCAGCGGCCAAGCGAAAGCAUUAAGCAUCCCACCUGGGGAGUACGCCGGCAACGGUGAAACUCAAAGGAAUUGACGGGGGCCCGCACAAGCGGAGGAACAUGUGGUUUAAUUC